rnacentral:rRNA from 1 species
GUAGUCAUAUGCUUGUCUCAAAGAUUAAGCCAUGCAUGUCUAAGUAUAAGCAACGUGUACUGUGAAACUGCGAAUGGCUCAUUAAAUCAGUUAUCGUUUAUUUGAUAGUACCUUACUACAUGGAUACCUGUGGUAAUUCUAGAGCUAAUACAUGCUAAAAACCCCGAUUUCAGGAAGGGGUGUAUUUAUUAGAUAAAAAACCAACGCCCUUCGGGGCUCCUUGGUGAAUCAUAAUAACUUAACGAAUCGCAUGGCCUUGCGCCGGCGAUGGUUCAUUCAAAUUUCUGCCCUAUCAACUUUCGAUGGUAGGAUAGUGGCCUACCAUGGUGGCAACGGGUAACGGGGAAUUAGGGUUCGAUUCCGGAGAGGGAGCCUGAGAAACGGCUACCACAUCCAAGGAAGGCAGCAGGCGCGCAAAUUACCCAAUCCCGAUACGGGGAGGUAGUGACAAUAAAUACUGAUACGGGGCUCUUUUGGUCUCGUAAUUGGAAUGAGAACAAUUUAAAUCCCUUAACGAGGA